CUAUCUUCAAUUUCAAGGAAUGCAAUGUCGAGAAACACGGAGAACUCGAAAGGCAGUUUGGAAAAGUAGGCAGAAAUUUUCUAUUAAGAAUAUCGGACAUUCGUUACCAUAGACCAUCAAACAUUAAAACUGACUCUGUCCCAAUGGUAUGCCAAAAAUUAGUUGGCACCGACGAUAAAGGAAAACGAAAUGUCGUCCGACGUUGUCAAAUCGCGAACGUUGAGUGUGAUUACAGCUAUGCACAAUUGGCUUCACAAUUUUCUAAAGAUUUUCAAAUUGAGUCAUGUGAGGUAUGCGAAGAUAAAGAUGGUUGUAAUGGUUCUUCGAGUAGUCGGGCUUUUGGUGUGGUGGUUGGUAUCGCAGUGAUAACUGUCAGUGUAGGUAGAUUUUUAAUUUUGUAAAAAAUUACUUAAGGAAACACAAGAAAUAUAAUUGAUUCAAGCAAAAA